CCUGCAACCACGUACCCUGGCUCCCAUUUUAUAUCACGUGCUGCUAUGCUCUCCCAUCGUCUUCAACAGUUGAGCGUGGUCUUAGUGGUCUUUCACCCAGAACUGUGACCAAUAGAGGCCUGUCAAGAAACCCCGUCAUGUCCUGUCACUUCACAGAGAUGACGGUGAAUUGUUUUCAUCUCAAAUAAUAGCCGGUGUGGGUAUUCCUAUUUGUUCACCCACGAAUUAUGUCGUCAAAGCACAAGCAAUG